rnacentral:lncRNA from 1 species
GGAGCUGUUUGUAGCACAAACAUUAGACCAUUGGAGCUGCCAAGCUCAAGAGCUAAUGAGGGCCAUAAGCAGAAGAAGCCAGUGCUGGUACGGCAGCUCUGCACUGUGGAACCCCUGGAAGGAACGGCACUAGAGCAGGACCCUGGUUCUGCCUCUGGAAAGAGCAGCAGGAAUGCUGACUCAACUCAGGUUUUAUCAACCGAUAGUCUGUCAUCCAGACACUCUAUGUUUGCAGUCCCAGACCAUGUCAGUGAAUUCCAGGAGUUUAAAAAUACCAAGUUGUCCACGUCACUGACUCCUACAGUGGGAAGUUCACACAUCCCAUUGGAAAGUGCCUGUGUUUUGCCUUUGAAAUCUAGAGACGACAACCAGGAAAAGGGGUCAUCAGGGGUUCAAAAUGAAGAGAACAAAGUCAUCCAAGGGCAAAGGCAGCCUCCAAUCCCUGGUCUCUCAGUGUUGAGCAGCUCAGACACUCAGCAGCCAUCUUUCCCCAGCCUCAAGACUGCAACUAGCUUUACAUGGUGUUACCUGCUGAGACAGAAGUCAUUGCCCUUGGCUCAGAGUGACCAGAAAACGUCAGCCUAUGCGGGGUGGACAGUGAGCCCCAGUAACCCCAAUCCACUCGGUUUGCCCACAAAAGUUGCUCUUUCUCUUCUGAAUUCUAAACAGAAGACAGGAAAGUCACUGUAUUGCCAAGCAAUAACCACCCAUUCAA